rnacentral:tRNA from 1 species
GGGCCGCUAGCUCAAUUGGUCAGAGCAGCAGACUUUUAAUCUGUUGGUUGUGGGUUCGAGUCCCACGCGGCCUACCU